UACGGAGGGUGCGAGCGUUGUCCGGAAUCACUGGGCGUAAAGGGCGCGUAGGCGGCUGGGGAAGUCGGCGGUGAAAGCCCGGAGCUCAACUCCGGGUCGGCCGUCGAGACUCCUCGGCUCGAGCUCACUAGAGGCAGAUGGAAUUCCGGGUGUAGCGGUGGAAUGCGUAGAGAUCCGGAAGAACACCGGUGGCGAAGGCGGUCUGCUGGGGUGAGGCUGACGCUGAGGCGGCGACAGCG
rnacentral:rRNA from 1 species